AGAGGGCGUGAAACCGCUUAGAAGGACACGAGAGGCGCGGAUUUUCAGCAAGGAUCAACUGAUGACUGUACUUUGUGCGUGUGUCAGUGCAUUUCUUGCCGGUGUGCACUGAAUGCUGUGAUGAGGAUGCCGAAGCCAGCCGAAGGGAGACACGCAUUUGUGUAAAUUUUCGGUUGUUCUUCAGUGAACUCUAUACGGUUAAGACAUCCUGUAUAGCUCGGAGUCGGGUGAACUUGCAUCGGUCGCUGUGUUUCGGUUUCUAAUCGGGCACGGUGAUUAAAAGUCUGUGAUCCCGUUCUCUGACAAGGUGUCGUUUCGGUGUGAACGUCGGCUACCCUCCCGACCCGUCUUGAAACACGGACCAAGGAGUCUAACAUGUGCGCGAGUCAAUGGGUGUAUCAAACCUACAGGCGAAAUGAAAGUAAAGGCCAGCUCGGUUGGCUGACACACGACCCGUUCAGCUUGCUGUUCGGAGCAGUGUGGUCCUAUCUUGAAUGCUUGCAUUGAGGUAGCGAUUGAGCGUACAUGUUGGGACCCGAAAGAUGGUG
rnacentral:rRNA from 1 species